UACGUAGGUGGCAAGCGUUAUCCGGAAUUAUUGGGCGUAAAGCGCUCGCAGGCGGUUUCUUAAGUCUGAUGUGAAAGCCCACGGCUCAACCGCGGAGGGUCAUUGGAAACUGGGAGACUUGAGUGCAGAAGAGGAGAGUGGAAUUCCACGUGUAGCGGUGAAAUGCGUAGAGAUGUGGAGGAACACCAGUGGCGAAGGCGAGUCUCUGGACAUUUCCUGACGCUGAGGCACGGAAGCCAGGG
rnacentral:rRNA from 1 species